ensembl:snRNA U6 U6 spliceosomal RNA
GUGCUCGCUUCGGCAGCACAUAUACUAAAAUUGGAACGAUAGAGAGAUUAGCAUGGCCUCUGCGCAAGGAUGACAUGCAAAUUUAAAAAAAAAAGUAUUUCAUA